rnacentral:lncRNA from 1 species
UGUAUUUUGUUGUUGUUAGUGUGAUUGACAGGCUUGGCGUUCAUGGUGGGUGGGAGAAAAACAUUCUUAAAGUAAAAUGCUAGAAUAUACUCAUAGUCUAAAUAAGCCUAUAAAGAAUGUUGGAAAAUGAAGUCUUGCUUACAGCUAUCUGUCUAGAAGUUUGAUAAAAGUCUUGCUAAUUGGUUUUGUCUUUUUUUCAUUUAACAGGAAAUAAAAAUAGCAACAUAAUCAACAGAAAUCACAGAGUCUGAAAGGGACCUGGAGAGAUCUUGGCAGGGCUUCAGCAGAGAGGCAGGAUCAAACACAACUAGAAGGAAUUGGGUUUCCUUCAAAAACUUGCACCAGGUGAGGUCCUAAAGGUCGGAACUUCAGCUCUCCUACUUAUUUAGAAAAACUGAGAUAAAACUGGACAAGACUGCGUGGGGGGAACAAGACACUGCAAAUCCAGGACCUUUCUGUAGAACAGAGGGGAUCUUACCUCUUUUCCCCCCUAAUUUUAUCUAUCAAGACGUCAUAAAUAAUUGCAGAUCCAAAAGGGAAGCUUGAAUUGAGGUAUUGAAAGAUUUAAGUGUC